UACGUAGGUGGCGAGCGUUGUCUGGAAUUAUUGGGCGUAAAGGGUACGUAGGCGGGCCUGCAAGUCUGAUUUGAAAGCACACGGAUUAACCGUGUGAGGUAAUUAGAAACUACAGGUCUAGAGAGUGGUAGAGGUAAAUGGAAUUCCAAGUGGAGCGGUGAAAUGCGUAGAGAUUUGGAGGAACACCAGUGGCGAAGGCGGUUUACUGGGCCACAUCUGACGCUGAUGUACGAAAGCGUGGGGAGCAAACAGGAUUAGAUACCCUGGUAGUCCCUGA
rnacentral:rRNA from 1 species